rnacentral:rRNA from 1 species
UGAAGUCGGAAUUGCUAGUAAUGGCAGGUCAGCAUACUGCCGUGAAUACGUUCCCGGGCCUUGUACACACCGCCCGUCACACCAUGAGAGUUGGGAAUACCCGAAGCCUGUGAGCCAACAAACGAGGCAGCAGUCGAAGGUAGAAUCAAUGAUUGGGGUGAAGUCGUAACAAGGUAAC